UACGUAGGGUGCAAGCGUUGUCCGGAUUCAUUGGGCGUAAAGGGUGCGUAGGCGGCGCGGUAAGUCGGGUGUGAAAUCUCGGAGCUUAACUCCGAAACUGCAUUCGAUACUGCCGUGCUUGAGGACUGGAGAGGAGACUGGAAUUUACGGUGUAGCGGUGAAAUGCGUAGAUAUCGUAAGGAAGACCAAUGGCGAAGGCAGCUCGCUGGAACGGUACUGACGCUGAGGCGCGAAAGCGUGGGGAGCGAACAGG
rnacentral:rRNA from 1 species